ensembl:lncRNA
AUUCGAUCAAUUCUGUUCUCUGGUCUCCCAGGGCCCUGCGUUUAUGGGGUCCCCGCCCAUGGAAGCUUUCCCCCCGUCAGCGGGUUUCCACUGUACCGGGAGUCCUAGACGAUCCCCUGGUCGUGCGGCCCCUCCCCCGCUCCUUCCCAGACCCGCGUGGCGAUCCCGGUUUCUAGGGGAUGGAGCGAUGUUCUCUCUUACCCCGUUCCAGCUCCUCCGAGGUGGGCAGUAGGGGCUCCGUCUUCUGUCUUUUGAUACUGUAGGUCUCUGAGUCCUGGCAUUAGGUUCAUUAGCUGAAAUUCAGAUUUAUAAAAGCACAACAUAUAACAAGGAAAUCAAUCUUCUGUCUAUCAUAUGAAGAUAUGGAGGCUCAAAGAGUUUCAGUCACUUAACCUAACGUCACCCAGUUGGUAAGCAGCAGAAUGGACACUUUGUCUGUUUGGCGCCAAAGCCCAUGAUCCUGCAUUCCACGUGGGCCCUGGGGACGGUGCACUUCGGCAGGGCUGGGAUCAGCGGAGGUGAAUGAGGCAAGCAUGAGGAUUACACAUCUCUGCUCCCCUUGUAGUCCUGAGAGGCCAUGUGACUAGGUCUGACCAAUGGGUGGUGAACAGCGGUGAUCCUGUUAUUUCUGAGCUGAUGCAUUUGAUUGUGGGUCUAAAGGCCUCCACCAUUCUCUCCUGCACACUGACUGAGGAGGCAGCAUGUCCCAGAUGGUAAAGCUACAGGAUGGUGGCAUCUCUGUCUGCCUGGAUUGCUGAGUCACAACAUGGAGGGCAGCUGCUCUAGAAGUGACCCAGACCUGCAGUGGGUAUUGUAUGCAUGGGGAAUCAACUUUGGUUGUGUCAAGUCAUCAAUGUCUUGAUAUGGCUUGUUCCCAAACCAUUCCCUCACCUAGUCUGACUAAUACUAUUGAAAAGCUGAAAUUUUAAAAAAUCUGAUUAAAAGAAAAAACUAUCAAUACUGAAAGUAAAUUACAAAAAUGAGGAAAAAAAUUGUGCUGUUGUCAAAUGCAGAUUAUACAUGGUUUAAUUUUUGGCACGUAAGGUCUAGCGUUCAGAGGAGCAUCCAAGAAACUUUAUGAGCAUAACAUGCUGAUGGGAAUUUUAUCCAUUUGGCAGAAGUCAGAGCAAAAUUUGAUAAUAUUAUGGCAGAACAUUUAUGCAUGAUAUAAAUAUUGACACCAAAUAAUAUUGCACCUAUUUAGGGAAUGAAAUACAAAACCAAAUAAUUAAAAUUGUAGCAGAUGUAAUGAAUAAAAUCAGUGUGAAUAAGGUAAGAAGAGCUAAAUAUUACUCAUUAUUUUGGCUACAAAUCUUGAUGUUGUUGUAUUUGAGACACAACCCCUGAUGAAUACAGAAUAGAUAACAAUUUCUGUUAGACUUGUAGAUUCCAAAAAUGCAAAUGUUUCUAUAUGUAAACAUGUUUUGGGAUUUUUUUCCGGUGAAUGACACAACUAGAGAAGGAUUAUAAACAAUAUUAGCAGACCACUUACAAAAACAAUCAAGAAUAAAGUAAUUUGUGGGAACACAGAUAUCAUAAUACUGCAAAUAUGCAGAGAAAACAC